CACCAAAAAAAAUGAAUGAUUUAUAGAAAUAUGUUAUGCCGUGGUUAUACUAUAGGUACUAUGCCAUAUUAAGUGUGAUAUUGAUGUAAUGAUGUUGGCUAAACCAUGGUCAAAUACAUGAAUUUAUGUUAUAUAUUAAAAUAUGAACAUGAAACUGAUUGAAACAUCUGCCAUAACAGACUUACUCAAUCUUAGGAUUAUGAUGUACGGAAUCUUAGGAUCUACAUUAAUUUUGAUUAAGAAUUUGAAUGACAUAGCUGUUAUAUUGCCUUUUAAAUAAUUUUUAUAUGCAUCCUUUAUUAGAUGGUGGAUUAACAAGUGCCAAGUGGUGAUGUUUAUAAGUCUAAGUCAUCUAAGUCUGUAAUGAACAAGCAGGAAAGUAUGGUGCCAAGGUCUUUCAUUUGAUGAAAAAUAUCAACUUGAUAUUAGUUCAGUGAAACAAGAAAAGAAGCCAUUUGACUUGGUUUAAGGAAAUAAGGAACAUGGAUUAAUUGAGGUAGUACUAGUGUGCGAGAAACUCAGUGGAUGAGUGGAAAGUCUCCUCUGUUAAUGGUUAGUUGGAUUCACAGUGUUGCAGAACUUAAUUUUCCAGGACAAAAAUACUCCAGGUGAUCUUAUAAAUAUGCUCAUAUUUGGGAGGACAUAUACCAACUUUACAAACAACUAGUCAGUAAUCAAAGAGGAACAUUGCUCAGGAGUUAAUUACUUUAGCUUACGGUAUGUGUUAAUAACAAUAAUUGAAGACAUGCAGUGAGUUUGCAUAGUUCUAGAUGCACUUGUCUUCUUUCAUAAAUAUUUUUAUUCAAUUACCUCUGGGUUCAUUAUACAGGGGCUUAAUUUCAAUAAUUUGAGUUGUUUCAGCUAGUUUCCUAAACUUGCCAAU